AUGGUUAAACCACACACUGUUUCCUCCCUAUCACCAGUACUGUUUAUUUCCAGCAGCCUGCCCUUCUGUAGUGUUUGCUUACUAAUGAUGCCUUGUGCUGACAUGCAUCUAUUCACUAAUUCUGGGGAUCAUUUUGCAGCAGGCAGUUCUUCAAACGUUUAUCAGUCAGUUGAGACCCUGAGCCCAUCAUCAGAUGUGAAGAGGUGGAGUCCCUCCAAGUCUUACUCUACAGUCUCUUAUGCUGUGGUAGACCUUCCACAGAAAUCCUAGUCCUGAGUCCAGUUAAAUGUCUUCC